AUUCUUUUAGUAUAAAAAAUAUAUUUGAUUUCCAAUCAAGAGAUCUUAAGCAUAAGAAAGAAUA
rnacentral:tRNA from 1 species